rnacentral:rRNA from 1 species
UACGUAGGGGGCGAGCGUUGUCCGAAUUCACUGGGCGUAAAGCGCGCGUAGGCGGACCUUUAAGUCAGGGGUGAAAUGCCGAGGCUCAACCUCGGAACUGCCUUUGAAACUGUGGGUCUUGAGGUAUGGAGAGGGAAGUGGAAUUCCAGGUGUAGCGGUGAAAUGCGUAGAUAUCUGGAGGAACACCCGUGGCGAAGGCGGCUUCCUGGCCAUAUCCUGACGCUGAGGUGCGAAAGCUAGGGGAGCGAACGGG